rnacentral:rRNA from 1 species
UACGUAGGGUGCAAGCGUUGUCCGGAAUUAUUGGGCGUAAAGAGCUCGUAGGCGGUCUGUCGCGUCGGCUGUGAAAUCCCGAGGCUCAACCUCGGGUCUGCAGUCGAUACGGGCAAACUAGAGUAUUGCAGGGGAGACUGGAAUUCCUGGUGUAGCGGUGAAAUGCGCAGAUAUCAGGAGGAACACCGGUGGCGAAGGCGGGUCUCUGGGCAAUAACUGACGCUGAGGAGCGGAAGCGUGGGGAGCGAACAGG